rnacentral:lncRNA from 1 species
CCACAGCAUAUCUUGGUUGAAUGGGGAUUUGAACACAAUUGAGGCUUUCCCCUCUAGAUGCACCUCUUCUCUCACCACCCCUUCCUUCUUCUCUGACCCAUCUUGCAUCUCCAUUUUCCUUUCCUCUCCUACCAACACUCCUCAGGUUGGGGCCUCAGUGUCUUAUGCCUGGGCUAUCGCAGUAGGAAUGUUCUAGACUCCCUUGCCUCAGAUAUAAGCUGGACGUCCCUGCUGUACUGAUUUCCCUACAGUUGCUGUCAUUCCACAUUCCCACUUUAAAAUAAUCAGUGAUUUAUCAUCAUCUGUGGCAGCAGUCACAGAGUCUGACAGGAAGUUCCCAGCACAAUCCAGAGCCCUGUGUGGACACUGAUCUCCAUAAGGACUGUUUAUUGCCGGGACCCUGCUGCACCAGAAAGAUAAGAAGGAGGAGGAAGAGGAGAAGAGAGGUGCACAAUGCCAUUACUGAGAAAAGAGCCAGCAAUUUUGAAUUCCCCAUUGGACCAGGAGCAGCAGUCCUGGUAAAUGUUCAACAACUGGCUCUGCAGAGAACUUUGAGAAACUUCUGUGCUUUAAAGAAAUUCUGCUGAGAACCCUCUGCCCAGAUGCCAGUCCCCACUGGAUGUUGUCUUCCAAGCAUUCAAAGUGAUGGGAGUCAGGACCUCGUGAAGAACAGCUUGUCCUGUGGAAGCUUUUUUACUUAAAUCACUCAUUAACUCUGGAGGGUGAAAAGCACAGUGUCAUGGAAAACUUUGGGCUGACAUUUCAGGGGUAGGACUUGAAGGCAGUUUAAACACAGCGUGUGGGUACCUGUUCCCUGGAUGAUGCUCAGAGCCAUUGAUGACUGUGGGAGGUUCCUCUUUUGUGGCUUCACUUUUGAAAUAGACAAGACAUGAUAGAGGGAAACGAGUUCUUCUUUCUCAGCCUCAUUUGAGCACUUUUUGUAUUGUAGUUAUAGAACUCAGAUAAGCCAAUAAAAGCUAGAUCAGCACUUCC